GUCAGGAGCCAUAACUAAUAAGGAUAGAUUAACAAGUUACUGUAGUGUAAGAAGAGCAGAGCAAAGAAUAUAAUACCUAAUCUUUGGGAGUAUUUACCCAGGGGAUCAAUAAUAUUCUAGUGGCCUCAACAAGAACAGGAAGCCUGUGGCUUGUCAAAGGUUCCCCCCCCCCCACCAUUUGUCCUGAUGAUUUUUUCUACCUCUAUUUUAAAACCACAGUUUUGUGAUUUACGGCUGCUUCGGGUAGGCGGUUCCAUGGAUUUACUGUAUAACCUUGUCAGUCCUACAUUGUACCUUGUUGAGCUUGAAAACCAUUGUUCCUUGUUUGUGUUACAUCUGACAUUGUGAAAAAAUUGUCCGGAUCAGCAUUCUCCAAUUUAAGGAUAAAUAAUUAAUAUAAUUAUUAAUUAUGUGUUCGCUAUUACAUAUAUAAGUUUCGAUAAGAUCCACUCUGUCAUGUCAGCUGAAAUUCAAAAUCCAGUUUGAUAAAAUCAUCAGGACAAAUGGGGAGGCCUCUCACGUCCUAUCCUCGUCGAGGCCACUAGAGAGAGAAAAAGAGAGGACGGCCCACAGGUAAAUUCAGGUAAAAAUAUAAAAUACAGCUCAUUGGAGAAGUUUGAACACCGCGCGCCCGUACUGCGAGCCUAACAAAGGAGCAUUGCACUGCGACCCUUGUGUGUUAGGCUCUCGUAUAUCAACACAAGAUGUGUUCCAGCACAUCAUAUUAACACAGGCAUAGAUAUUUAGCAUCUUGGAGCCGUGUCAACUCGAGGAGAGAGCUGUGAAGGAGAAUAUUAACCAUUGUUGUGGUGGAGGAGACGUCGCUCUCAUGUCUGCCUCACACAGUGUUGCCGGGGCCGCCUCAACACAUAUUUAACUCUAAUUACCUUAACCUAGGACCUCUUGACGGGAAUAUUUGCGCGCUCUGCUGUAAAACCUGACGAACGGUCACUCUCUGUGAGGAGACACUGAUAGAUUACUUUGGGAAGCACGGGGAGGAAAGCAGUCAGUAGGAAACGAGGCUCGAGUAAGUUGUUGCAAUAGGAGACUGUAGUGUAUUCUUGCAACAUCUCUCAUCACAGCAAGUUUACCUUUCAACUCAUCAUCUAGAAGAGAGUGUGAUGCAUAUCUUGGACCUCGCUGACAGAUCAAACCAUUUGGAGUAUUUUCCAAGGCAUAUGUUAGUGAUCAGCCAAGGGUUUGAAAGAACAGUAUUACCGCCGUUACCAUUAUUAGUGUGUAAAUGAAUAUUUAAUGAGUGAUAUUUGGCUCGGUGUUAAUCUUGGUGUUUUCUCAUACAUGGGCAACCUUUCCUAGUGACAAAUUCCUUUACAGUACAAAGAAAAAAUUAAGUGCACAAUAUAAAAAGUGUGUUUUUAAAAAUAACAAGGGAGGAACGAUGGCAGACCAUGAGAAGGAUGUCCCACUGCCUCCGUCGCCAGGAAUGGAAGAGAAGCUGGAGAGUCCACAAAAGGAACCUCUCAGGGAAAACUUCGUCAUAUUAAAGAAUAUGUUGAUUAGUCCGGAUGAUACUGUGUUCGAUCAACUACGAUCACAUCUUCAAGAAAAAAUUUGUGAUGGAAAUGGAGAGACACUGUUUGAGGUGGGAGUUGGUGCAGAUGAUUCUGUGUGUGGGUUGCUAGAAGAAGAAUAUGCAGCAUCUGUGGCCACACUGAAGUCACUUGCUGACACCCUUGAAGCUGACUGUAUUUUGCUAAGGGAGAAGAAGUCCAAGACUGGCACUCAGGGCCAGUUUCUUGUGAGAAAAAAGGCAGAUGCUGAAGAUUUUAUGGAAGUUAGAGUGGCAGUUGUUGGAAAUGUGGAUGCUGGGAAGUCUACCCUGCUUGGGGUCUUGACACACGGUGAACUCGAUAAUGGCCGAGGCACUGCACGCAUGAAGCUAUUUCGCCACAAGCAUGAAAUGGAAACUGGGAGAACUUCUUCUGUUGGAAAUGAUAUUCUUGGUUUUGAUAGCCAAGGAAAAGUAGUGAACAAACCUGACCAUGGCCACCUUGACUGGGUGAAGAUAUGCGAGGCUUCCAGCAAGGUGAUCACCUUUAUCGACUUGGCAGGCCAUGAACGGUACCUCAAAACAACGGUGUUCGGUAUGACUGGUCACCUCCCAGACUUCACAAUGCUUAUGGUUGGUGCCAAUGCUGGAGUUGUUGGUAUGACCAAGGAACAUUUGGGUCUGGCUUUGGCUCUCAACGUUCCUGUGUUUGUCAUAGUCACCAAGAUAGACAUGUGCCCGCCAAAUGUUCUCCAAGACACCCUUAAACUCCUUCAUAAAAUUCUGAAGAGUGCUGGGUGCAGAAAAGUUCCACUUCUGGUUAGGAAUGCUGAAGAUGUGGUUGUUUCUGCUACAAAUUUUGUUUCAGAAAGGUUAUGUCCUAUCUUCCAAGUGUCUAAUGUGUCUGGCGAUAACCUGGAUCUUUUGACUAUGUUCUUGAACCUUUUGUCAUCGAGGACACCACAGAAUGACAAUGACCCAGCACAGUUUCAGAUUGAUGAUACUUAUCAAGUUCCUGGUGUAGGUGUUGUGGUGUCCGGAACAUGUAUGAAGGGAAUCAUCAGGGUUAAUGACACACUUCUACUAGGUCCAAAUGGUUUGGGUGAUUUUAUUCCAAUGCCCAUCAAGUCGAUUCACCGAAAACGCAUGCCUGUUCGUGAAGUAAGGGGAGGCCAGACAGCCUCAUUUGCAUUAAAAAAGAUAAAGAUUCAUGAUGUGCGCAAAGGCCAAGUGCUAGUAGAUCCAUCAUUAAAUCCUUCUUCUUGUUGGGAAUUUAAGGGAGAGAUAUUGGUAUUGCACCACCCAACAACUAUUAGUACAAAAUACCAAGCAAUGGUUCACGUAGGAUCGGUACGACAAACAGCAUCCAUCAUUGCAAUGGAUAAAGAGUGUCUGAGGACGGGAGACAAGGCCAUUGUUCACUUCAGGUUUAUUAAACAUCCAGAAUAUCUCAAAAAUGGACUUAAAAUGGUUUUCCGUGAAGGUCGCACCAAAGCUGUGGGUCGUGUUUUGGAGGUUAUCCCAAAGAUUGCUUCACUUCAGCACCAGAAGAAUCAUAAAAUUAUGAAGAUGGUAAAGCAGGCUGGAGUUAGUGAUGGAUGUGCAGCACAGAAUCAGGGUGUAGCAGGAGGAAACUUUGGAGGCACUAAGAAGCAACGCAGUAGGCGAGGGGGCAAACACAGGUCGCGUGGUAGCAACAGUACCAUGUCUGGCAGUUCAGGACUCCAAAGCCCUUUGAAACUGGGAGGGGCCAGUUCUGUGCCAGCACCUGUUUCCAGUCCCACUUCUUCAGCAUCAGGCAUUGUCCACAUUGCUGCCUCUGGAACAAGUACAUCCAACGUCCACCCUCGACCAGACAACAUCACAUCACCACCAUUGGUAACAACACAGGUUUCAGUGUAAUCAACUGUAUUACCUUUUCUUUUCUAUUAUUUAAUAAAAUUUUAUGUCACGGUUCGCAGAGCUCAGCUCUGAAUAAGAUCUCACUCAAGCAGGAGUCUUGAUUUGUAAUAUAGAUGCAGUGAUAUUAUCCUUUUUUUCUCCAUUUUUAUAUUACUGGUAUUCUUAUGAAAAUACCGAUCGGAAGAGCACAC
rnacentral:misc_RNA from 1 species